AACGAACGCUGGCGGCAUGCCUAACACAUGCAAGUCGAACGAUGCCUUCGGGCAUAGUGGCGCACAGGUGCGUAACGCGUGGGAAUCUGCCUUUCGGUUCGGAAUAACUCAGGGAAACUUGAGCUAAUACCGGAUAACGUCGCAAGACCAAAGAUUUAUCACCGAAAGAUGAGCCCGCGUAGGAUUAGCUAGUUGGUGAGGUAAAGGCUCACCAAGGCGACGAUCCUUAGCUGGUCUGAGAGGAUGAUCAGCCACACUGGGACUGAGACACGGCCCAGACUCCUACGGGAGGCAGCAGUGGGGAAUAUUGGACAAUGGGCGAAAGCCUGAUCCAGCAAUGCCGCGUGAGUGAUGAAGGCCUUAGGGUUGUAAAGCUCUUUUACCCGGGAAGAUAAUGACGGUACCGGGAGAAUAAGCCCCGGCUAACUCCGUG
rnacentral:rRNA from 1 species